rnacentral:tRNA from 1 species
GCGCCCGUAGCUCAGUUGGAUAGAGUACCAAGCUUCGAACCUAGGUGUCGGGGGUUCGAGUCCCUCCGGGUGCGCCA